AUAUCACUACUAGAUCUACUACUACACAACUGCUCCCUACUAUCACACAACUCACACCUGUUUUAACAAAUCUUCAUAUCGGUAUUGGUAUCACAGGAACAUUUAUUGGUGUUAUUAUUAUACUCAUAAGUUUGAUUAUUCUUGUCGUUAUAUACAAAAGGAAGUCAUGCAGGUUAACCUCAGUACAGCAACAAGGGGUACCUACUGCAUAUAAUGAAGCAUAUCAGUGUCCACAUGACAUAAUGAUCAAUGAUACUCCUACAUGUGAGCCUACAUAUGAAGAAAUAGGAGAAAACAGGACAGGAGCAGCAGUUAACA